GGUCUUUCUCUGCCAUCCAGGCUGGAGUGCGGUGGCAUGAUCAUGGCUCACUGCAGCCUCAACCUCUCAGGCUCAAAUGAUCCUCCGAUCUCAGCCCCCAAAGUCACUGGAACUACAGGAUCACAUCCAGGACACCUGGAAUUGACAAUAAAUACAUGUAUUUGUCACAUUUCCUUGGGUGCUCUUCAUUGUGACAGUUUUUCAGACAUUUUUUUUUUGAUGACCUUGACAGUUGUGAGAAUUAUUGUUCCCGAUUUCAACAGGGAGCGGUGGUUACCAGAGGGCACUGUAACGGAGUCUCGCUCUGUCACCCAGGCUGGAGUGCAGCUGCAUGGUCCUG
rnacentral:lncRNA from 13 species